rnacentral:rRNA from 1 species
CCCCUAGAUGUCCUGGGCCGCACGCGCAAUACAAUGUAAAGUUCAGAAAGCAUAUCCUGUUCCGGAAGGCAAUGGGUAAUCUUUUCAAUAUUUUACGUGUUAGGGAUCGAUCUUUGCAAUUAUAGAUCUUGAACGAGGAAUACCUAGUAAGUGCAGCUCAUCAGGCUGUACUGAUUACGUCCCUGCCCUUUGUACACACCGCCCGUCGCUCUUACCGAUUUCGAGUGGUCCGGUGAAUCUUUUGGAAUUAGAGUGCAAACUCAAACUAAGAUCGAUAAACCUUAUCACUUAGAGGAAGGAGAAGUCGUAACA